CAAAGAAAAGAGGUCUUCUUUAUUUUUCUUGAGAUUCUUGGCUCUUCUGAGCCCUUCCUUUACUUUAGAUAAAGAGAUAAAGGAAAUUGAUGAUAAAAGUUGUACAUAUCUAUAUAAUAUAGAAAGAAGAAAAGAGAGAAAGAAAGAUUCUUUCCUUUAUCUUAAUGUGCUAUCUCAUGUAUUAAUUAUCUUUUUCAAUUGGGAGAGAUGGCUGAGUGGACUAAAGCGGCGGAUUGCUAAUCCGUUGUACGAGUUAAUCGUACCGAGGGUUCGAAUCCCUCUCUUUCCGUUGAUGACUUGAUUUUUUUUUUUCAAAUUUCGAAAUCCUUUGUUCUUAUUCUUAGUUAAAUGUGUGGAAUAGACCAAAUCCUAAGAAAAUUUGAAAAUCAAGCAAGGAAAAAACUUUUUUAUUUUAUUCUUCACGUCCAGGAUUACGUCCGGGAUCAUUAGAUAGGAAUCCAAAGAUGAAGAGAGAAACAAAAAAUAUCACUACUGUGUAAACGAAGAGUUUGAGAGUAAGCAUUACACAAUCUCCAAGAUGAUUUUUUUGAAAAAAAAAAAGAGAAUAGAUCAUCCAUCGCAUAUCCUAGUUUGACACCAAGCAACGAAGCUUUUUCUCUAAAAGAAUUUUCAGAAAUUCUUUUAUAAUAAGAGUUUGUCAUUAACCAAAUUUUUUAUAUAUACAAGAGGAGCCUAAUAAGGUCUUUCACUGGAAAGGAAAGCGCCAAAAAAGAAGGAAAUUAAGUUAAGCCGGAUUUCUCGUGACUAUCCAAGAAUUUCAAUGUUUGAAUCGAGAUUUCAAACGGUAAAGCUUAUCUGAUUUUAUUGAUUUUCGAAUUUUUUCUCGAAUAAAUCAUGAAUUUUCUAGGAUAUUAUUAAGGAUCUCAUCGAAAACUUACAGCAGCUUGCCAAACAAAGGCUAAGAGAAAAAAGAACAGAGGUAUGACUGGCAUAAUAUCUACGAUUGGAUUCAAAAAAGCAUAGGCCUCGGGCAAUUUGCCGAAGAAAAAACUACUCGAAUAAAGGGUCGAAUUAAGACAGAUACCGAUCAAACUAAAGGUAUUAAGCAUAACAGACUUUUUGUUCUUGGAGAUAAUUGCAUUUUGAUUGAGUUAUUUAUAUAAGGAAAAGGAAAGUAAGUUAUAAGGAAAAGGAAAGUAAGUAAGGUAAACAAAAAAUCCUUCUUUUUCUUUGAACCCACCCAAUCAAAAAUCCUCCUUUGAGAAAAGGAGAAUCGAAAAAAUAAUAUUUUCAUACAAUAUCUUAAUUGAAUUAUAUGUAAUGAUCAAUAAAUUAAGUUGAAUUCUAUAUCUACACAUACCAAAAACAUAGAAAAAUCCGAAUACCAAUCUAAUCGAUUCUAUAGAUAUUUGGGCUAGAGUUGACAAACAAACAAAACCAGCAAUAUACUUUAUUAGUAUCGCAUAGAAAUCUAAAUGGGGCGUGGCCAAGUGGUAAGGCAACGGGUUUUGGUCCCGCUAUUCGGAGGUUCGAAUCCUUCCGUCCCAGAACAUAUAUAUUCUCUGACAAUAUAGAUUGCUUUUUUAACAAUGUUCUGUUUAAAAUCGAAAUGUUAGCUGGAAUGUGAUUGUUGUUUCUGAUUUUUUUCUUCGAUGAAUCGUUUUUUUUUUUUUCAAAAACUGAAUCGAGAUACGAAAGAAUCCAUAUUCCCUAUCUCAUAUUCUCUACCCCCUAAAUUAGCCUAAUUAGAUUCAAUUUGCUUUUUUGUGGAUUUCUUGACUUUUCGCCAAGAAGGGGUUUUUGGUACUAAUUCAAUUCACUAAGUCUCUUAAUUCUUAAUCAAUGAGGUAGGCUAAAAUAGAAAAAAGGAGCAAAAACUGGACUUAAUCUGGGCUUGUUUGGCUUUGUGCCCAGCCAGCUCGCAUUUCGUAAAAAAAAAGACUAGGACAUCCCCUUCUUUUGAUUUAUGCUGCAUCAGUCCCAGAGAAUGGGGUAGAUAGGAGUUAAUCAGUGAUGGGAAGGCGUUCAUUUCAAUAUCUAUAAACGGUGACAAUUGCUCAGUCUAUUUGAUCGAAUUGAUAGAUACGAAACCCUCCCCAUUCUUUGGAUUUUAUUAAUCAGAUGAAAAAAAAAAAAAAAGACUUAUCUUUUUUCCUAAGAUGAUCAAAAGUUAUUUUUAACUAUCAAAUUUUCUUGGAAUAAUGAUGUCGAGAGGGGAACUUUCGAAAUUGAUUCGAAAUUUCGAAAGAGAAAUAGUUUAAAUCAUUCCUUAGAAGCUGAAUCUUUCUCUCCUAUUAAGUCACGUGAAGAUGCAGAAUUAAAAAGAAUUCGUUUAUUCGUCUUAUUUUAUUUAUAUAAAAAAAUUUUUUAUUAUAUAUAUUUAUUAAUUAAUAUUAUAAUGUUAGACAAUUUAAUAUUAGCGAUGGGGUCUUACUAAGACUUCUUCAGAAAAAUAUUUAUCCACCCUAUAUCUAUAGUAUUAAUCUAUAGUAUUAUUUAUAUCUAUAUACUAUAGAUAUAGAAGAUAUAGAAAAUACUUUAGAUUAUGGUGUUUAUACAUCAGCCCAACCAAUGACUAUUCAUGAUUCCAUAAUUGAAUCAAUUCCAUACCGGUUCUUAGAGGAAUGUUAUGGUAAAACUUCGUUUGAAACGAUGUGGUAGAAAGCAACGUGCGACUUGAAGGACACGAUCCGUUGUGGAUUUGUACAUCCACCAUUUUUUGUAGGAAUGAAGGUGCUCUUAACUCGACAUCAUUGGUUCUGUUUCACUAGAACCCCUCGUUUUUUGUUGUCUUGGAAUGUAAAUAGUCCAUGAUGGAGCUCGAGUAGAAAGUAUUAAUUUCUUUCUCGGGGCAAGGGUCUAGGGUUAAUGCCAAUCAAUAAAACAAUUGAAACAACUUCGUAAAUAUAUCUAAUAUAUCUUAGGUAUGGAAAUCGAAAGAAUCCAAUUCGAGCAAGUUUCAAAUUAAAAAAUUUAUUGGAAUUGAUCAAACUUUUUCGAUCCAAAGUGUUUCACGAGGGAAUCCAUCAUCUUGUAGGAUUCUUUCAUAAAAAUCGCAAAAAGGGUAUGUUGCUGCCAUUUUGAAAGGAUUAAAAAGCACCGAAGUAAUGUCUAAACCCAAUGAUUUAAAAUAAAACAAAGAUAAAGGAUCCCAGAACAAGGAAACACCUUUUUAAUUGUCUUAAUAACUGGAUCAGACUGAAGAAUCCGAUUUUAAACGAGACAAACAAAAAAGGAGGAAAGACCGCUCAAUAAAUGAAAUUGCCGAAAGAUUUUCCUUUGAACUGUUUGAAAGUUAUCCAACUUGAGUUAUGAGAGUACGAAUGGUUUAUUUUUCAUUUUAAGGAAGAACGAAGAAAAAAAGACUUAGAUCUUUAAUUGCUUUGAUCAUUUUAUGGAUCCAGUUGUCAUUUCUUAGAUAGAAUUCCAUACAAAGACAAAACUUCGAAUCAAUCAUUUUUCUCGAGCCGUACGAGGAGAAAGCUUCCUAUACGUUUCUAGGGGGGGUGUUGUUCAUCUACAUCUAUCCCAAUGAGCCGUCUAUCGAAUCGUUGCAAUUGAUGUUCGAUCCCGAAGAGAAGGAAAAGAUCUUCAGAAAGUGGGUUUUUAUGAUCCGAUAAAGAAUCAAACUUAUUUAAAUGUUCCUGCUAUUUUAUAUUUCCUUGAAAAAGGGGCUCAACCUACAGAAACUGUUCAGGAUAUUUUAAAGAAGGCAGAGGUUUUUAAGGAACUUCGUCUUAAUCAACCGAAAUUCAAUUAAGGAAAUAAAUUAAGGAAAUACAAAAAAGGGGGUAGUGAUUUGUAUAUAACUUUGUAUGACUUUUCUCUUCUAUUUUUUUGUAUUUCCUCCCUUUCCUUUUCUAUUUGUAUUUAUUUAUCAUUGCUUCCAGUGAAUUCCGUGUUCUAUAACGACAAAACCUCUUAUUUUAUUGAUCUUCUAAAUAGUUAAUUCGGGCAUUUCGGAAUGAAAUCAAGUUUGCUUAUCUCAGUUAACUUGAUUGAAUCCAUUAUGAAUUCAAUAAAUCUAAGUAAAUUUAAGUAAAUUGUAGUUUUGUUUUCCACUUUUUUUUUUUCAAUAUUCAAUAUUUAUAUUGACAACAGUGUAUCGAACAAAUAUAAUUCAUUGUGAUAAAUGAAGUGGAUCUAUUUAGUUUUAUUUUAUGUUUUAAAUGAAUUCGAAAGUGUGAAUGUAUUUUUUUCGAUUUCUUCUUUCAAUGGUUUUUGGUUGUCUUGUCUAAUCUAGUUAUUUCUUUUUCUUCGGAUUGGAUCUACAUAAUUUUUUCGAUAUUUUCUUCGGGUUGCUAACUCAACGGUAGAGUACUCGGCUUUUAAGUGCGGCUAGUGUCUUUUACACAUAUGGAUGAGGUGAGGGAUUCGUCCAUACUCUCGGUAAAGUUUGGAAGACCGCGACUGAUCCUGAAAGGGAAUGAAUGGUAAAAAUAGCAUGUCGUAUCAACGGAAAGUUCUGAAAAUAUUUCAUUGUUCCUAGAUGGGUAUAAAACUGUGUUAGAAUUCUUGGAACGGAACAAAAUAAAGUUGGGUCGAAUGAAUAAAUGGAUAAGGCUGCGGCUUCAAUUAAAUUAUAGGGAAAGAAAAAGCAACGAGCUUUUGUUCUUAAUUUGAAUGAUUCCCGAUCUAAUUAGACGUUAAAAAUUUAUUAGUGCCUGGUGCGGGAAGGGUUUCUUGUCCCAUGAGUGUGUUCUCAAUUUUUUUAAUGAAUCCUAACUAUUACCAUUUUCGAUUAUGGAGAUGUGUGUAGAAGAAACAGUAUAUUGAUAAAGAAAGUUUUUUCCGAAGUCAAAAGAGCGAUUAGGUUGAAAAAAUAAAGGAUUUCUAAACAUCUUAUUAUCCUAUAACACUAUAACAUAGACCAAUUAAAUGAAACGAAAAAAAAAAGAGAUGAUAGAGAAUCCGUUGAGAAGUUUACCUGUAUUCAAGGUAUCUAUUCUUACUACAAUACUUUGUUUUAACUGUAUCGCACUAUGUAUCAUUUGAUAACCCUCAAAAUCUUCCAUCUUUGGUUCAAAUCGAAUUUCAAA
rnacentral:lncRNA from 1 species